UACGUAGGGUGCGAGCGUUGUCCGGAAUUAUUGGGCGUAAAGGGCUCGUAGGCGGUCUGUCGCGUCGGGAGUGAAAACUCGGGGCUUAACUCCGAGCCUGCUUCUGAUACGGGCAGACUAGAGGUAUGCAGGGGAGAAUGGAAUUCCUGGUGUAGCGGUGAAAUGCGCAGAUAUCAGGAGGAACACCGGUGGCGAAGGCGGUUCUCUGGGCAUGACCUGACGCUGAGGAGCGAAAGCCAGGGGAGCAAACGGG
rnacentral:rRNA from 1 species